CUUUCUUCUGAUGAGUGAACAGCCUCACCGGAACUUCCCCAUCCUCCUGGCUUGGUUCCUGAAGUGGCCCAAGGCUGCCUUCUCCCUCCCGUGGGUGAACAGGGUCACUGCUUCCUCUCUUGUCCAGGCCCCCUGGCCUGACCCUGAGUCCCGGGCGUAACGGCGUUGUUGAACCACCACAACCCCAGGCGGCGCCUUCCUCUUGGCCCAGGGGCUCUCUUGGGGACAGUGUGCAGUACUCCCCAAGGGGGCUUUGCUGUGCAAAAGCAGCCCCUGCCGAUGCUGCGGCUCCCGUGGAUGGAGCACUGCCGUGGGAACAGAGUUGGAACUCAUCCAAAAGAAUAAAAGACAACUGUGUUGGAAGAUUGCCAAGGUUUGUAGCUGUGCCACCGCAGACUUCAGAGAUGAACACUGCCUUGGAGACGAGGAGGAUUCAAGUUGCAGAAGCAUUUAGAAACCUCAAACUUGAGACACGGUGGGAAAUCAGGAAGACAUGAGGCUUUGCUCAACACUGGAGAACACCAGUUCUUUUCAGUUUGUAUGCAUCUUUAUCAGGAAGAUGAUCAUUCAAGAGGCCUGAAGGAAGACUUGUGUUGGAGCCUAAGGUAGAAAUAUAAAGGUUUUGAAUGUUAUUAUUGUUGGAAAUACAAUUAAUUUUCCCCAAAAGCUCUGAAUAUAUGAUGAUUUAAUACCUUUAUUUAUGCUGAGUUAUUUAUGUUAUAGAACUAUAAAUCCUGAAAAAACCCUAAAAACCUGUUUUUGUGUUGCAAGUAGAUAAGAAGUUUUAAAAUCCAGAAAAGAAUAAUUUUUCCCAUGAUAUAAAACGGUUGAGGAAUAAAAUUCCUCUCACUUUAAAAUAAAUAGGAAAUACAUACAC
rnacentral:lncRNA from 1 species